rnacentral:rRNA from 1 species
GUCCUUAGUUACCAGCACGUUAUGGUGGGCACUCUAAGGAGACUGCCGGUGACAAACCGGAGGAGGGUGGGGAUGACGUCAAGUCAUCAUGGCCCUUACGGCCUGGGCUACACACGUGCUACAAUGGUCGGUACAAAGGGUUGCCAAGCCGCGAGGUGGAGCUAAUCCCAUAAAACCGAUCGUAGUCCGGAUCGCAGUCUGCAACUCGACUGCGUGAAGUCGGAAUCGCUAGUAAUCGUGAAUCAGAAUGUCACGGUGAAUACGUUCCCGGGCCUU